ensembl:piRNA 21ur-5195 ncRNA
UAAUGACAAUGACGUAGAUUA